AGUGAACGCUGGCGGUAGGCCUAACACAUGCAAGUCGAACGGCAGCACAGUAAGAGCUUGCUCUUACGGGUGGCGAGUGGCGGACGGGUGAGGAAUACAUCGGAAUCUACUUUUUCGUGGGGGAUAACGUAGGGAAACUUACGCUAAUACCGCAUACGACCUACGGGUGAAAGCAGGGGAUCUUCGGACCUUGCGCGAUUGAAUGAGCCGAUGUCGGAUUAGCUAGUUGGCGGGGUAAAGGCCCACCAAGGCGACGAUCCGUAGCUGGUCUGAGAGGAUGAUCAGCCACACUGGAACUGAGACACGGUCCAGACUCCUACGGGAGGCAGCAGUGGGGAAUAUUGGACAAUGGGCGCAAGCCUGAUCCAGCCAUACCGCGUGGGUGAAGAAGGCCUUCGGGUUGUAAAGCCCUUUUGUUGGGAACGAAAAGCGGCAGGUUAAUACCCCGCUGUUCUGACGGUACCCAAAGAAUAAGCACCGGCUAACUUCGUG
rnacentral:rRNA from 1 species